CAAUGAAGCGAGUGGCGAACUGGUGAGUAACACGUGGGAAUCUGCCCAGAAGCAGGGGAUAACACUUGGAAACAGGUGCUAAUACCGUAUAACAACAAAAUCCGCAUGGAUUUUGUUUGAAAGGUGGCUUCGGCUAUCACUUCUGGAUGAUCCCGCGGCGUAUUAGUUAGUUGGUGAGGUAAAGGCCCACCAAGACGAUGAUACGUACCGACCUGAGAGGGUAAUCGGCCACUUGGGACUGAGACACGG
rnacentral:rRNA from 1 species